CAUAUACAGUAUUAUACUAGUUAUACUGAGUACUACUAAAAUCAGAUCCGAAGAUGAAAUAAAUAAAAAACACGAAAAAUGCCUUAAAGAAGGAGAACAAGAACAUGGAGAACCCUAAAUCAUAAAAAUCCCAGAAUCUUCUUUAACAACCCUAAAUCGGAAACAUACAUAACAAAAAAAAUAGAAUCCAAUCACUUAUGGAGCGCAUAGGUUGUAAGCCAUUGAUGAACUCAUACAAAACCCAUAAUCUUACAAUAACACUAUAUAUAUAAAAAAAUACAGAUCUGGAGCGCAUAGGUUGAGCCAUCGCUGUUUUGAACAGACCAUAGCACGAGAAGAAGAAGGAUUGCCAUUGAUGUUGUUUCCAUAACCUUCGACAGUUGUUUCAUCACUUACAGCAGAUCUGAUUUGAUUGUAGAGAAAAAGAGAAAGAAGAGAUGAAGCACGAGAAAAGUCGCAGAGAAAAGAGAGAGAGAAAGAAGAAAAUGAAAAAAAAAACUUGUCGGCGG
rnacentral:lncRNA from 1 species